ACAUCCAGCGAACUUGGCAGAGAUGCCUUGGUGCCUUCGGGAACGCUGAGACAGGUGCUGCAUGGCUGUCGUCAGCUCGUGUUGUGAAAUGUUGGGUUAAGUCCCGNAACGAGCGCAACCCUUAUCCUUUGUUGCCAGCGAUUCGGUCGGGAACUCAAAGGAGACUGCCGGUGAUAAACCGGAGGAAGGUGGGGAUGACGUCAAGUCAUCAUGGCCCUUACGAGUAGGGCUACACACGUGCUACAAUGGCGCAUAUAAAGAGAAGCGACCUCGCGAGAGCAAGCGGACCUCAUAAAGUGCGUCGUAGUCCGGAUCGGAGUCUGCAACUCGACUCCGUGAAGUCGGAAUCGCUAGUAAUCGUGGAUCAGAAUGCCACGGUGAAUACGUUCCCGGGCCUUGUACACACCGCCCGUCACACCAUGGGAGUGGGUUGCAAAAGAAGUAGGUAGCUUAACCCUCGGGAGGGCGCUUACCACUUUGUGAUUCAUGACUGGGGUGAAGUCGUAACAAGGUAGGCGUAGCGAG
rnacentral:rRNA from 1 species